CCUACGGGUGGCAGCAGUGGGGAAUAUUGGACAAUGGGGGGAACCCUGAUCCAGCCAUGCCGCGUGUGUGAAGAAGGCCCUCGGGUUGUAAAGCACUUUCAGUGAGGAAGAACGCCUGGUGGUUAAUACCCAUCAGGAAAGACAUCACUCACAGAAGAAGCACCGGCUAACUCCGUGCCAGCAGCCGCGGUAAUACGGAGGGUGCGAGCGUUAAUCGGAAUUACUGGGCGUAAAGCGCGCGUAGGUGGCUUGAUAAGCCGGUUGUGAAAGCCCCGGGCUCAACCUGGGAACGGCAUCCGGACCUGUCAAGCUAGAGUGCAGGAGAGGAAGGUAGAAUUCCCGGUGUAGCGGUGAAAUGCGUAGAGAUCGGGAGGAAUACCAGUGGCGAAGGCGGCCUUCUGGACUGACACUGACACUGAGGUGCGAAAGCGUGGGUAGCAAACAGGAUUAGAUACCCGAGUAGUC
rnacentral:rRNA from 1 species